rnacentral:rRNA from 1 species
AUUGAACGCUGGCGGCAGGCUUAACACAUGCAAGUCGAACGAGUGGCGGACGGGUGAGUAAUGUCUGGGAACCUGCCUGAUGGAGGGGGAUAACUACUGGAAACGGUAGCUAAUACCGCAUACCAUCGGAUGUGCCCAGAUGGGAUUAGCUAGUAGGUGGGGUAAAGGCUCACCUAGGCGACGAUCCCUAGCUGGUCUGAGAGGACGACCAGCCAAACUGGGACUGAGACACGGUCCAGACUCCUACGGGAGGCAGCAGUGGGGAAUAUUGGACAAUGGGCGAAACCCUGAUGCAGCCAUGCCGCGUGUAUGAAGAAGGCCUUCGGGUUGUAAAGUACUUUCGGCGGGGAGGCGGUACCUGCAGAAGAAGCACCGGCUAACUCCGUGCCAGCAGCCGCGGUAAUAC